ACGAGGGGGGCAGCGAGCGGGGAAGGUCCCGCGCGCGCCCGCUGCUGCUAUGGGAUGGGCGCCGCUCGGACACCCCCGCCCGGCGCCCUGCUGCGGGGUCCCCGCACACCGAGCUCAGCUAAUGAGAAGUCUGGAACUGCUGGAGGAGCUGUGGGCUAAAAAUUGGAUCCAUGUCUUUCUGGUUUUGAACGAGGUUGCCAAUGAUAGGAGCUAUCAUUAUUUAAAUAUGUGAUUGUUUUUCUCCAGUUCAAGUAACCAAUCCCAUCAAGUUUGCUCAGUCUCAGGUUUCUCUGCUUUGGAAUGUUGAUCAAGAACAUUGCAAUGGACAACUCUGGUGAUACGCGGACUCCCCAGAUUUCCAUUUGCCAUUUCCAGUUUUAGGCCUGGGUAGCAUAUAGACCAAGACUUUACCAGCAGUGCUGGGAAAAUAUCUCCUUUUGGACAAGAUUAAAUGUCUAUUAUGGUUCUUUUAUAGCCAUCAGUUGUUAUUGUGUGGUUGACCCAUCUAUGGAUUCCAGCAGAGUAGAUGGAGUUGCAUUUGAGUGUUCCCUGAGAGCAGUACAAUGCUAUUACUGGCCUGCACAAAGGGCUCUCUCAAGUGAGAUUCAACAAGGUUCUGUUUUAUUGUUCCUCUGAUAUAUGAAGAUAUUGCAUGUGCUUGAGCUGCAGUGUUUCUGAUAUGAGAUGAGUCUCCGCUUUACAUCAUCAUUCCAUUGGACCCAGAUGGUGAAGCUGAGAAACUUGACCAGCAUCUGGCUGAGAAAUGGUUUAGCUGGCUGAUAGUGAGCCCAGAUAAGAAUAAGGAAAUAAUACUUUUAUAUACAUCAGUGGUAUGCCUCAUGUGGAAUACUGUGUGCAGCACUGGUUAUCCCAUCUCAAAAACAAUAUUGCUGAACCAGAGGGGAUUCAGAGAAGAGCAAUGAGAAUGAUCAAAGGCCAAAGAAGCUCUCUUAUGAAGAAAGAUUGGAAAGAUUGGGAUUGUUUACCUUACAAACAAGACAAAUAAGAAAGGACAUGAUAAAAAUAUAAUGAAUGAUAUAGAGAAGGUAGAGUGGGAGCUUCUGAUAUCCCUGUCUCAUGAUGCAAGAACAAGGGAAAAUUCAAUGAAAUUAAGAAGUGGGAAAUUCACAACCAAUAAAAGGAAACACUUUUUCACACAAUA